AGAGAAUUUCCGAUGGAGCGGUGAAAUGCGUAGAAAUCGGAAAGAACACCAGCGGUGAAAGCACU
rnacentral:rRNA from 1 species